AGAGUUUGAUCCUGGCUCAGGAUGAACGCUGGCGGCGUGGAUAAGGCAUGCAAGUCAAACGGCUAUCGCAAGAUAGCAGUGGCGAACGGGUUAGUAACACGUGGGUAUCUGCCCCAAUCACGGACAUAACCCGCCGAAAGGCGGGCUAAUAUCCGAUAGUCUCGCAAGAGUAAAUGCGUAAGCCGGAUUGGGAAGAGCCUGCGGCCUAUCAGCUUGUUGGUGAGGUAAAGGCCCACCAAGGCUAUGACGGGUAGGGGAUGUGAGAGCAUGAUCCCCAACAAGGGCACUGAGACACGGGCCCUACUCCUACGGGAGGCUGCAGUCGAGAAUCUUCGGCAAUGGACGAAAGUCUGACCGAGCGACGCCGCGUGCAGGAUGAAGGCCUUCGGGUUGUAAACUGCUUUUAUCUGGGAAGAAGUCGCGUCCAACUUUUUACGCGUAGGCGGCCGGGUCGCCCUUUACGUGCGCAUAAAAAGUUGGACGCGAUUGACCGUACCAGUUGAAUAAGGGGCCGCUAAUCUCGUGCCAGCAGCGGCGGUAAUACGAGAGCCCCGAGCGUUAUCCGGAAUUAUUGGGCGUAAAGCGUCCGUAGGCGGUCUUGAUAGUCCUGUGUUAAAUCCGGCGGCUCAACCGAAGGACUGCGCGGGAAACGUCAAGACUAGGGAGCAUGAGAGGCAAAUGGAACUCACGGUGUAGGGGUGAAAUCCGUUGAUAUCGUGGGGAACACCAAAGGCGAAGGCAAUUUGCUAGCGUGACUCUGACGCUGAGUGACGAAAGCGUGGGUAGCGAAUGGGAUUAGAUACCCCAGUAGUCCACGCCGUAAACGAUGAAUACUGGCUGUGUGAAGUGUCGACCCUUCACGUGGCGAAGCUAACGCGUUAAGUNUCCGCCUAG
rnacentral:rRNA from 1 species